AGGCCCUACGGGGCGCAGCAGGCGCGAAAACUUUACAAUGCGGGAAACCGUGAUAAGGGGACACCGAGUGCCAGCAUCAUAUGCUGGCUGUCCAGAUGUGUAAAAUACAUCUGUUAGCAAGGGCCGGGCAAGACCGGUGCCAGCCGCCGCGGUAACACCGGCGGCCCGAGUGGUGAUCGUGAUUAUUGGGUCUAAAGGGUCCGUAGCCGGUUUGGUCAGUCCUCCGGGAAAUCUGAUGGCUCAACCAUUAGGCUUUCGGGGGAUACUGCCAGGCUUGGAACCGGGAGAGGUAAGAGGUACUACAGGGGUAGGAGUGAAAUCUUGUAAUCCCUGUGAGACCACCUGUGGCGAAGGCGUCUUACCAGAACGGGUUCGACGGUGAGGGACGAAAGCUGGGGGCACGAACCGGAUUAGAUACCCGGGUAGUCCCAGCCGUAAACGAUGUGCGUUAGGUGUAUCGACGACCACGAGUUGUCGAGGUGCCGAAGGGAAACCGUGAAACGUACCGCCUGGGAAGUACGGUCGCAAGGCUGAAACUUAAAGGAAUUGGCGGGGGAGCACCACAACAGGUGGAGCCUGCGGUUUAAUUGGACUCAACGCCGGGAAUCUCACCGGAUAGGACAGCGGAAUGAUGCC
rnacentral:rRNA from 1 species